UAGGGAAUCUUCCGCAAUGGGCGAAAGCCUGACGGAGCAAUGCCGCGUGAGUGAUGAAGGUUUUCGGAUCGUAAAGCUCUGUUGCCAGGGAAGAACGCUUGGGAGAGUAACUGCUCUCAAGGUGACGGUACCUGAGAAGAAAGCCCCGGCUAACUACGUGCCAGCAGCCGCGGUAAUACGUAGGGGGCAAGCGUUGUCCGGAAUUAUUGGGCGUAAAGCGCGCGCAGGCGGUCAUUUAAGUCUGGUGUUUAAUCCCGGGGCUCAACCCCGGAUCGCACUGGAAACUGGGUGACUUGAGUGCAGAAGAGGAGAGUGGAAUUCCACGUGUAGCGGUGAAAUGCGUAGAUAUGUGGAGGAACACCAGUGGCGAAGGCGACUCUCUGGGCUGUAACUGACGCUGAGGCGCGAAAGCGUGGGGAGCAAACAGGAUUAGAUACCCUGGUAGUCCACGCCGUAAACGAUGAGUGCUAGGUGUUAGGGGUUUCGAUACCCUUGGUGCCGUAAG
rnacentral:rRNA from 1 species